rnacentral:rRNA from 1 species
AGAUUGAACGCUGGCGGCAUGCCUAACACAUGCAAGUCGAGCGGCAGCGCGGGGCGGACCCUCGGUGGCGAGUGGCGAACGGGUGGAGUAAUGCAUCGGAACGGUAAUCCUUGAGUGGGGGAGUAACGCAGCGAAAGUUAGUGCUAAUAACCGCAUAAGCUCUGAGGAGGAAAGACGGGGGACCGGAAAGGACCUCGCGCUGAAGGAGCGGCCGAUGUCCGAUUAGCUGGUUGGUGGGGUAAAGGGACCUACCCAAGGCGACGAUCGGUAGCUGGUCUGAGAGGAUGAUCAGCCACACUGGGACGUGAGACACGGCCCACGACUCCUACGGGAGGCAGC